AUGCAGAUCACAUACAAAAAUCCUUACACCAGGAAUUCUGGAAAACCAUUUAGAAAACCACCUGCACUGCUUGUGGGCCAGCUGGCUCCCACAGAUGAAAAAAUCCAGGGGCAGAAGGCUGACUAAAAUCCCACCUUAGCUUUCAUUGCAAGGACAUGAGUGUUUGCAAUUUCCUAAUGACGAUGGCACAAAUGUACUGGCAAUCUGUUAACUCAAAAGCUUGUUAUGAUUUCAUCCUGAACUGAGCCUAUGAAGAAAGCUUUCUCCAGAAAUCUUGGGAAUAACUUUAGAAGAUUCUAAUUGUGCAGCUAAAUAACUUUGGAUGACUUAUUCCUCGUAACUUUUUUUUCAAUAUAUGAAAACAGCCUAAAGACAAAAUACAUUUAAUAAACUAAUCUUAUACAUGGUGCAAGCCGGAAAAAAAGUACGUUCAGUUUGGGGACAUAAUGCAGAAACCAUAAACUACUAUCAAAAGGCAUUCAAGAAUAAACCCAACCUGAAGGAAAGCAGAACUGAAAGAUGCAGAGAGACUGAGGACUGCUGAUACUGUUGAAGCACCUAGACCAAGCCUUCUGAAAGUCAUCACUACACUAGUCUUAAAAGCCUUA
rnacentral:lncRNA from 1 species